GCCUGUGUUACGCGUUACGCUUUUAACGUAAAGAUCAGGGUUCGACUCCCUGCGCAGGUA
rfam:Trichinella sp. T8 scaffold39s, whole genome shotgun sequence.